CUGAAUUGGGGGCAACAAUGGCAAUUAACACUGAAAUCGAUUUUUUUUGAGCUGAGAGUACCCAUCUAGCCAAACACCCCAUUUUAUUUCUGGAGUUCUGGAGUGGAGCUGACUCUACCUGGAGUUUUGGAGUAGAGCAGCUCCACCCAGAGCUGGAGCCAUGCCAAACAGGGCCUAAGUAUCAAAGUUCGUCUAUAGUGGUGAGUUCCU
rnacentral:lncRNA from 1 species